UACGAAGGGGGCGAGCGUUGUUCGGAAUUACUGGGCGUAAAGGGCGCGUAGGCGGCGCGAGAAGUCGAGUGUGAAAGCCCCGGGCUCAACCUGGGAAUUGCCUUUAAGACUGCAUCGCUUGAACAUCGGAGAGGUAAGUGGAAUUCCGAGUGUAGAGGUGAAAUUCGUAGAUAUUCGGAAGAACACCAGUGGCGAAGGCGACUUACUGGACGAUUGUUGACGCUGAGGUGCGAAAGCGUGGGGAGCAAACAGG
rnacentral:rRNA from 1 species